rnacentral:rRNA from 1 species
UACGAAGGGGGCUAGCGUUGCUCGGAAUCACUGGGCGUAAAGGGUGCGCAGGCGGUUCGUUAAGUCAGAUGUGAAAGCCCCGGGCUCAACCUGGGAACUGCAUUUGAAACUGGCGGGCUUGAGUAUGGCAGAGGGGGGUGGAAUUCCGCGUGUAGCAGUGAAAUGCGUAGAGAUGCGGAGGAACACCGAUGGCGAAGGCAGCCCCCUGGGCCAAUACUGACGCUCAGGCACGAAAGCGUGGGGAGCAAACAGG